rnacentral:rRNA from 1 species
GAUGAACGCUGGCGGCGUGCCUAAUACAUGCAAGUCGAGCCAACAGACGAGGAUCUUGCUCCUCUGACGUUAGCGGCGGACGGGUGAGUAACACGUGGAUAACCUACCUAUAAGACUGGGAUAACUUCGGGAAACCGGAGCUAAUACCGGAUAAUAUCUUGAACCGCAUGGUUCAAUAGUGAAAGACGGUUUUGCUGUCACUUAUAGAUGGAUCCGCGCCGCAUUAGCUAGUUGGUAAGGUAACGGCUUACCAAGGCGACGAUGCGUAGCCGACCUGAGAGGGUGAUAGGCCACACUGGAACUGAGACACGGUCCAGACUCCUACGGGAGGCAGCAGUAGGGAAUCUUCCGCAAUGGGCGAAAGCCUGACGGAGCAACGCCGCGUGAGUGAUGAAGGUCUUCGGAUCGUAAAACUCUGUUAUUAGGGAAGAACAAAUGUGUAAGUAACUAUGCACGUCUUGACGGUACCUAAUCAGAAAGCCACGGCUAACUACGUG